rnacentral:rRNA from 1 species
CAGGGAAUAUUAGUUAAUGUGCGAAAGCGCGAACUAGCAACGCCGCGUGUGCGAUGAAGGCCUUCGGGUUGUAAAGCACUUUUCCAAGGGACGAGGGAGGACGGUACCUUGGGAAUGAGCAUCGGCUAACUACGUGCCAGCAGCCGCGGUAAAACGUAGGAUGCAAGCGUUACCCGGAUUUACUGGGCGUAAAGCGCGUGUAGGCGGUUCGGUAAGUUGGAUGUGAAAGCUCCCGGCUUAACUGGGAGAGGUCGUUCAAUACUGCCGGGCUAGAGGAUGGUAGAGGAAGGUGGAAUUCCGAGUGUAGUGGUGAAAUGCGUAGAUAUUCGGAGGAACACCAGUGGCGAAAGCGGCCUUCUGGACCAUUUCUGACGCUCAUACGCGAAAGCUAGGGUAGCAAACGG